rnacentral:lncRNA from 1 species
UCAUAUGGCACAUAAUGAAGGUAGCAAGCAAGUAUGUGAUCCCUUAAAGAUAAAUUAAAGAACAACAGCAAGCAAGAGUUGAAUGAUGCUUGGAGAUGAGUUUUUAUAGUUUGAUCUAUAACUUACCAAGCAAAUUGUUAGCUUGUGUUACCAAAAGAAAAGGGGUCAUCAAGAAAAGUUCGAAAUAUUCAUAGAAGAAAAAUUUCAAGACUUCAUAAGGAUAUGCUAAAAGACACGAGCUUAUGAUCUACAUAUUGGUCUUAUUAAGUGGAAGAUUGCAAUUCAUGGAAGUUUCUUUUAUCAACCUAAAUCAAGCAUUUGAAGAAGACUUCAAAUGGGAUUUAACUAUUGGUGUCAAAGCAAAUCUAAACUCAAUGUGGCAAGAAUGGGUGAAGAAAUCAAAUGAGGUACUAGAGACGAGGGACUAAUCAAGCUUUGGAUAAGCGACGGCUUGUGCCAUGGGCAUAUUGCUAGGGUGAAAUAGCUAGUAUCGGGGGGUUUCGAGAUAUCAUUUCUAGGCCUUACCGAGGGAAGCAAUGCAAUGCAUCUAGUCUAUCAUGGUUGGUAAAAUGGAGUGACUAAGAAGACUUCAAGUAUACUUUAUUAUGGACAAAAGGAAGCCUUAAGUCACUAGCUCAAGUUGGAUGUGCUCAAGUUGAAGAUUAUGUUGGAAGCCCUCAAGUAUCCAAAGAUCAAAGUAUGGCAAGAAUGAAGACUUACAAACUCAAGAGGAUGAUAUGAUUUUUAUAUUUUAUCUUGAGUAUAGGUAUGCCGUACUAUCAAGAGGGAUGCAACAUUAGCUUAUUGACAACACCAAAAAUGCUCUUAGUUGACCCAUGUGAGUUUCACCCUGAGAGAUACCCUUGAGUGAGUUAAAAGAUUACAAAACACAUAACAAGGGUUGGUUUAACCUCUAGGUCAACAAGAGUGAGUGUUAGGAGCAUUGUGGCUAGCUCAGCCAGACUGG